GUGCCAGCCGCCGCGGUAAUACGUAGGCAGCAAGCGUUGUUCGGAGUUACUGGGCGUAAAGGGUGUGUAGGCGGUUCUCUAAGUUUGGUGUGAAAUCUCCCGGCUCAACUGGGAGGGUGCGCCGAAAACUGGAGGGCUAGAGUACUGGAUGGGAGAGUGGAAUUCCUGGUGUAGCGGUGAAAUGCGUAGAUAUCAGGAGGAACACCUGUGGUGUAGACGGCUCUCUGGACAGUCACUGACGCUGAGACACGAAAGCGUGGGUAGCAAACAGGAUUAGAUACCCUGGUAGUCCACGCCCUAAACGAUGCAUAUUUGGUGUGGGUCAUUCAUUUGAUCCGUGCCGGAGCUAACGCGUUAAAUAUGCCGCCUGGGGAGUACGGUCGCAAGGCUGAA
rnacentral:rRNA from 1 species